GACGAACGCUGGCGGCGUGCUUAACACAUGCAAGUCGAACGGAAAGGCCCUGCUUUUGUGGGGUGCUCGAGUGGCGAACGGGUGAGUAACACGUGAGUAACCUGCCCUUGACUUUGGGAUAACUUCAGGAAACUGGGGCUAAUACCGGAUAGGAGCUCCUGCUGCAUGGUGGGGGUUGGAAAGUUUCGGCGGUUGGGGAUGGACUCGCGGCUUAUCAGCUUGUUGGUGGGGUAGUGGCUUACCAAGGCUUUGACGGGUAGCCGGCCUGGGAGGGUGACCGGCCACAUGGGGACUGCGAGAGGGCCCAGACUCCAACGGGAGGCAGCAGUGGGGAACAUUGCACAAUGGGCGGAAGCGUGAUGCAGCAACGCCGCGUGCGGGAUGACGGCCUUCGGGUUGUAAACCGCUUUCGCCUGUGACGAAGCGUGAGUGACGGUAAUGGGUAAAGAAGCACCGGCUAACUACGUG
rnacentral:rRNA from 1 species